GAUGAACGCUGGCGGCGUGCCUAAUACAUGCAAGUCGAGCGAACAGACGAGGAGCUUGCUCCUUUGACGUUAGCGGCGGACGGGUGAGUAACACGUAGGUAACCUACCUAUAAGACUGGGAUAACUUCGGGAAACCGGAGCUAAUACCGGAUAAUAUAUCGAACCGCAUGGUUCGAUAGUGAAAGAUGGCUUUGCUGUCACUUAUAGAUGGACCUGCGCCGCAUUAGCUAGUUGGUAAGGUAACGGCUUACCAAGGCAACGAUACGUAGCCGACCUGAGAGGGUGAUCGGCCACACUGGAACUGAGACACGGUCCAGACUCCUACGGGAGGCAGCAGUAGGGAAUCUUCCGCAAUGGGCGAAAGCCUGACGGAGCAACGCCGCGUGAGUGAUGAAGGUCUUCGGAUCGUAAAACUCUGUUAUUAGGGAAGAACAAAUGUGUAAGUAACUGUGCACGUCUUGACGGUACCUAAUCAGAAAGCCACGGCUAACUACGUG
rnacentral:rRNA from 1 species